UUGGAUUUGAGUGUUCCGCACAUCUCCCAUGCCGUCAACGACAUGAUGAAGGAGCGGUUCAAGGAUUAUCGCAGUAAGUUACACCGGCAAUACAAGCAGUGCAUGAGCCACGAGGAGGCCGUACAGUUCGCACCGCUGCACGUGACCGAUGAGGACUGGCAGAUACUCUGCGAUAGGUUUUCGUCUGAUUCUUUUCAGUGAGAUUCCGUCACUGGCCAGGAGCCCGGACCAGUAGACUUCUACAAAGGGACUCACUGUCGGCAGACAACAGGAUCUUGGGUACAUCCUAGAGCCAGCGAGAUUUGGAUAAAGAUCCUUACAUUGAGGAGAUGAACACCUUACGCAGUUAGCCCACUCCCGAUGGUACUCAGCGGAGUGAGCCAGAGAUCCUGAGUCAGGUGCUUGGCACCCGUUCUGGAUAUGUGCGUGGGUUUGGCCAUGGUGCCAAACUCAUGGCACCCGCUAGAGCUGCCUCUAGCCGAUCCAUCGUCGUUGGCGACAGCGCCGUACGCCGAGCUGAUACUGCAGAGAGAGAGGUUCAGCAGCU